UACGUAGGGUGCAAGCGUUAAUCGGAAUUACUGGGCGUAAAGCGUGCGUAGGUGGUGAGUUAAGUCUGAUGUGAAAUCCCCGGGCUCAACCUGGGAAUGGCAUUGGAUACUGGCUCGCUAGAGUGCGGUAGAGGGUGGUGGAAUUCCCGGUGUAGCAGUGAAAUGCGUAGAGAUCGGGAGGAACAUCUGUGGCGAAGGCGACCACCUGGACCAACACUGACACUGAGGCACGAAAGCGUGGGGAGCAAACAGG
rnacentral:rRNA from 1 species